GUGCUCGCUUUUCAGCACAUAUACUAAAAAUUGGAAUGAUACAGAGAAGAUUAGCAUGGCCCCUAUGCAAGGAUGACAUGCAAAUUCGUGAAGCAUUCCAUAUUUUU
rnacentral:snRNA from 1 species